rnacentral:rRNA from 1 species
GUUGGCUCAUUACAUCCUGGGGGUGUAGGAGGUCCCAAGGGUAUGGCUGUUCGCCAUUUAAAGUGGUACGCGAGCUGGGUUUAGAACGUCGUGAGACAGUUCGGUCCCUAUCUGCCGUGGGCGCUGGAGAACUGAGGGGGGCUGCUCCUAGUACGAGAGGACCGGAGUGGACGCAUCACUGGUGUUCGGGUUGUCAUGCCAAUGGCACUGCCCGGUAGCUAAAUGCGGAAGAGAUAAGUGCUGAAAGCAUCUAAGCACGAAACUUGCCCCGAGAUGAGUUCUCCCUGACUCCUUGAGAGUCCUGAAGGAACGUUGAAGACGACGACGUUGAUAGGCCGGGUGUGUAAGCGCAGCGAUGCGUUGAGCUAACCGGUACUAAUGAACCGUGAGGCUUAACCUUACAACGCCGAAG